rnacentral:piRNA from 1 species
UAAGUGACAGAGGUAGGAUGGAAGAG